rnacentral:rRNA from 1 species
UACGAAGGGUGCAAGCGUUACUCGGAAUUACUGGGCGUAAAGGGUGCGUAGGUGGUUUUUUAAGUCCGUUGUGAAAUCCCUGGGCUCAACCUGGGAAUGGCAGUGGAUACUGGAAAGCUAGAGUGCGGUAGAGGGUAGUGGAAUUCCCGGUGUAGCAGCGAAAUGCGUAGAGAUCGGGAGGAACACCAGUGGCGAAGGCGGCUACCUGGACCAGCACUGACACUGAGGCACGAAAGCGUGGGGAGCAAACAGG